CUCAGUUCCAGUGUGGCCGAUCACCCUCUCAGGUCGGCUACGUAUCGUUGCCUUGGUAAGCCGUUACCUUACCAACUAGCUAAUACGGCGCAGGUCCAUCUAUAAGUGAUAGCAAAGCCAUCUUUCACUAUCGAACCAUGCGGUUCGAAAUAUUAUCCGGUAUUAGCUCCGGUUUCCCGAAGUUAUCCCAGUCUUAUAGGUAGGUUACCUACGUGUUACUCACCCGUCCGCCGCUAACGUCAAAGGAGCAAGCUCCUCGUCUGUUCGCUCGACUUGCAUGUAUUAGGCACGCCGCCAGCGUUCAUCCUGAGCCAGGAUCAAACUCU
rnacentral:rRNA from 1 species